rnacentral:rRNA from 1 species
AUUUCGGUAGACAUCUUAGUGGCGCACGGGUGAGUAACGCGUGAAUAACCUGACCCGAAGAGGGGGAUAACACCUGGAAACAAGUGCUAAUACCGCAUAAGACCACAGACCGGCAUCGGUCAGAGGUCAAAGGAGAAAUCCGCUUUGGGAGGGGUUCGCGUCCCAUUAGGUAGUUGGUGAGGUAACGGCCCACCAAGCCGACGAUGGGUAGCCGAGCUGAGAGGCUGAUCGGCCACACUGGAACUGAGACACGGUCCAGACUCCUACGGGAGGCAGCAGUGGGGAAUAUUGGGCAAUGGGCGCAAGCCUGACCCAGCAACGCCGCGUGAGGGAAGAAGGUUUUCGGAUUGUAAACCUCUGUCGCAGGGGACGAAGGAAGUGACGGUACCCUGUAAGAAAGCCCCGGCUAACUACGUGCCAGCAGCCGCGGUAAUACGUAGGGGGCGAGCGUUGUCCGGAAUUACUGGGCGUAAAGGGAGCGUAGGCGGUCGAUUAAGUUAGAUGUGAAACCCCCGGGCUUAACUUGGGGACUGCAUCUAAUACUGGUUGACUUAGAGUACAGGAGAGGGAAGCGGAAUUCCUAGUGUAGCGGUGAAAUGCGUAGAUAUUAUGGAGGAACACCAG